GGUAGUCUAACGCCGGGUCCCGCGGAAACCGCAGCUUCGCAGGCAGCGGGAGCCCCUCCCGGGAGGGGCGCCGCCGGAAUCCGGGACAAGGUGGGGCCGCGAGGACAGCGAGCAGACCCCUCCCUUGUCGGCCCUGACCGCCGAGGGGGAGCUGAGCCGCACUUCGCACCGAGCCUUUCAUGUUCAUGGUCGGUCCCUGCGUGGAUCCUCUCCUUUGUCGAGCAGUGUUUCAGCCAGAGCGGUUUACAAAGGGCUCAUUUCCUCGGGAUGCGGGAUGAAAGUGCACUUCGUGGGGCUCGGUCUCCAUUUUGACUAAAUCAAAAUUUUCAUCAAGUGCUUCUCUAUGUAUUGAGACAUACACUUCACUAUCAGAGCUUCUUAUAAGGACACCGGUCAUAUUGGAUGAAUGCCCACCCUGAGGGCUUCAUUUUAGCUUAAUCACCUCUUUAAAGACCUUCUCUCCAAGCGCAGUUCCAUUCUGAGAUACUGAGGGGUUGGUACCUAAAUAUGUGAAUUUUGCGGGGCCGGUGGUGGACACAACUCAGCCUAUUAACAUCUACCAUGGAUGAAGAGAGAGCAAAGACCAGAGGUUGCUGAUGGACACCUGUAAGAGCCAGAAGACUGUCGUUUCCUGACUAAUUGGCCUAUGAAGGGCAAUUUGGAAAAAGCGAAGGCAGAGGUCAGAGAGUGGGAUUCUAGACUGGAUGAUUCUAGUACUUCACAACGUAGAGCAGCCCCAGUGAAAAGCAAAGAACUGUGAGUCAGAAGCGGCUUGUUAUGGAACCCACGGCCAGUCCUUCAGCACGUGAAGCCACUGCCUCUCCUUGGGGGAGUAGUGUUUGCCCUUGGGAGCAUAAGGAGGGUCACUCCUGAGGGUCACCCCCUCCCUGAGUUCUCUAGCCCUGGGUUUUCUACCGAUGUGGUUACUCAUCGUGUCUGAAAUUCACGUUAGGAGAAGCAAUUUUAAAAAUUAAUGUUCACCAUUUUAAUUAUGUAACGAAAAGCAGACGUGAAUCUUCCCCGGCUUCAGUUGCUGUGUAAGUGUGCACCUGCCUGGAGGAGUUAAGGGCUGCUUCUCUAGGCCUGGAUGAGGGAGCCAAGGCAGGUGAAGAGACUGGAGGAGAGCCGGGAUGAGCUACAUUGACCCCACCCUCUUCUCUCCUCCAGGUGGAAAUGGCACAAAGGGUGGCUCCAGUCGCUCUUCUAUUAUUUCAUGGGGACUCCUCCUCCUUGGUGACUCCACUUUUUGGUGGCUCUUCUUUUUUCAGCAGUGACUCCACUCGGCCUUUAGCGGCAUUGACCCCGACCAUGUGGAUGGCUGUGGAGAGACCUUUGGAAUGUUUGGCCACAUUGGCUUCAGCGGGCUGAACUGUGGUCCCGGGUGAGCCCAGAACACCCGCAUCCUUGUCACAAAUUGCAGAACCUGCCUGUGGUUCAGGUGCGGUGUAUGUCCUGAAGAAGAUACCCCGUGACUCUACCAAGCAUGCAACGAUCACCAACUAUUCGCUUUGAGCACACGAUCCUGCACAGUGUCAUCAAGAAUGGCUGUAAAAAAGGACUUACCCAUAAAGGGGUCUGGCAGGCAUUGCUUUUGUGCUCAAAGACACCCUCCCCCUCUACACCACCUGCUCCACGCACAAGAAAACAUGUACACACACUUGCCAAGAUGGCACCAAGUUCAGGCCACCUCGUCAGUGUUCUAGGCAGCCACCAGCAGGUGGAGCCUGAGUCAGGAACUGGGGGAGAAGAGCAAGGAAUGGGAGUGGCCUGAUUCGUGGUGAUAGAGACCUUCUCCUUCCUUCCCACCCGUCUGUGUCCCUCCUUUUCACCCACUCAACCCUUGACCCUUCCUCAUGCUCUCCUCACUUCGCUAUAGGUGCUGUGUGUCUGCAGUGUGAACGUUCCUGUCACUGAUGACCGGGCGACCCAUUUGCCCUGCUUUGGUGUUGCUGAGCCGGGCAAUGCCUCAGGGGGACCAAAUGGCAGGGAGAAUUGACUUUUGAGUUCAAAGUUUGUUUCAAAACAGAUGGGUCUUGCGGAUAAUGCCCACCUCUGAGUAGCACCUGUUGUCGUCUCAGGCCUGAGCACAUCCAUCUCAGCACCUAGUUUGCAGUACUGACCCCCUUCGUUGCUGGGCUGCCUGGUGGGCAGGAGAGGGGGUGACCUGUAUCAUGGCUCACUGUUCAUGUCCCUAAUUUUGCAUCCAGUUCCUUUCCAGUGGCUUAGAGAGUGACAUGCGUGUUACUGGAAGACGUGUCCGUUUCUCUCCCGAACCUGUAAACAGUGUUUUCUCCUUUCCCUCCCGGCUUUGCUGAGGCAAUUUUAUCAGCUGCCCUGCCUGCAGCUACCUCCCCAUCGGGAGGGAAAAGUGGAGAACACGUCCUGCUUUAGCAACCCUAACACGCCCGUGGUCCACGCUUCCCGACAGACCACCACCACCAGCAGCACUUUACCAGAACAGAGCCCCAAGUUCUGCGUCCCCUACUGGCCCCAGGGCAUGUCCCGUGGGGGUGGGGGGCCAGCGGUAUGCUUUCACCGAGGCUGAGAAAUGAGUCGCAGUGCCCACUUCUGCAGCUGUCAUCCGGAAGGGAAUGGGAUCUUGGGCGCAGGUGGAAACUGUGCCCCACCAUAGAUUCAUGGUCCUAGAUGUUUCCCCCUCACCCUCUGAACUCAAGGCUUCACUACAGCAAUUUUGAGUUCCACACGUGGGGUGUAGGAGUUACAGUCCCUGCUCUCCACUGGGGCCAGCUCAACACCUUUGCAAGGGGUUCGUGCUAAACUUGUGUGCAGUCCUAAACUGGCCUCAUCUCUGUCCUGAAUAUUUGGAUGAUACUUGACCCCAGCUUCCUGGAGGGAGCGCUAGAUCUUGACUGCCCUUGUGCUAGUUAGUGAUAGGAGAUUUGCCAGGUACCCAGGCAGAUAAUGUAGGAAGAUGAGAAUUGGUGGAUGGUGGAGAGCGAGGCCCAGGGGUGCAGGGCAGGGACUUUCUAUGAACCCAGGCUCUAGAAGGGGUGACUUAUAGGCCCUUGAUCUGUCCUGAGAGCCCACAACCACCUUGGAAGAAGGGAUUGUGACAUUUACUCGGUGCUGUGGGCGUACAAUCUCACACAAUCUAGCUCUUCUGGGUACGCGUAACAUGUCCAGAAAAGUGUGUAUAUAAAUCUUGUGCGAUUCCUGUGACCAAAACAAAGCUGUCACCUUUGAACACGUAUGUGGAAUCCCAGAGAAUGUCCACCAUGUCUUUAAGGUGGGGUACACAGGGUUAUGGAGAUACAGGUAUUCGAUGUUUCACCUUCUACCCCUCAGAAAAAAUGUUGAGCACACACCUCCAAUGUUUAUUUUUAUUUGUAAUAUAUAUAUUAUAGUUAUAAAAUACUGUGCAUAUU